UACAGAGGUGGCAAGCGUUGUUCGGAAUUACUGGGCGUAAAGGGCGAGUAGGUGGCCAUCAAAGUCAGACGUGAAAUCCCCCGGCUUAACCUGGGAACUGCGUCUGAUACUGGACGGCUUGAGUAUGGGAGAGGAAUGUAGAAUUCCAGGUGUAGCGGUGAAAUGCGUAGAUAUCUGGAGGAAUACCGGUGGCGAAGGCGGCAUUCUGGACCAUUACUGACACUGAAUCGCGAAAGCUAGGGGAGCAAACGGG
rnacentral:rRNA from 1 species